UAGCUGAGGAAAAAGGACCAACCGGGAUUGCCUUAGUAACGGCGAGUGAAGCGGCAAAAGCUCAAAUUUGAAAUCUGGUACCUUCGGUGCCCGAGUUGUAAUUUGGAGAGGGCAACUUUGGGGCCGUUCCUUGUCUAUGUUCCUUGGAACAGGACGUCAUAGAGGGUGAGAAUCCCGUGUGGCGAGGAGUGCGGUUCUUUGUAAAGUGCCUUCGAAGAGUCGAGUUGUUUGGGAAUGCAGCUCUAAGUGGGUGGUAAAUUCCAUCUAAAGCUAAAUAUUGGCGAGAGACCGAUAGCGAACAAGUACAGUGAUGGAAAGAUGAAAAGAACUUUGAAAAGAGAGUGAAAAAGUACGUGAAAUUGUUGAAAGGGAAGGGCAUUUGAUCAGACAUGGUGUUUUGUGCCCUCUGCUCCUUGUGGGUAGGGGAAUCUCGCAUUUCACUGGGCCAGCAUCAGUUUUGGUGGCAGGAUAAAUCCAUAGGAAUGUAGCUUGCCUCGGUAAGUAUUAUAGCCUGUGGGAAUACUGCCAGCUGGGACUGAGGACUGCGACGUAAGUCAAGGAUGCUGGCAUAAUGGUUAUAUGCCGCCCGUCUUAAUCC
rnacentral:rRNA from 1 species